UACGAAGGGGGCUAGCGUUGUUCGGAAUUACUGGGCGUAAAGCGCACGUAGGCGGGUUAUUAAGUCAGGGGUGAAAUCCCGGAGCUCAACUCCGGAACUGCCUUUGAUACUGGUAAUCUAGAGAUCGGAAGAGGUGAGUGGAAUUCCCAGUGUAGAGGUGAAAUUCGUAGAUAUUGGGAAGAACACCAGUGGCGAAGGCGGCUCACUGGUCCGAUACUGACGCUGAGGUGCGAAAGCCAGGGGAGCAAACGGG
rnacentral:rRNA from 1 species